AAAUGGAGCCCAAAGCAUGGCCACUUGUCUUGGAUUCUAUAUUCACAGGUGCCCCUGUCUGGGAGGCACUGCUUUACUAAUGACAAAGGACGUGGAAGAAAGAUAUUUCCAACCACGGAAGGAAGAAGUGAGUCGACUGAUUCUUGGAAGAAAAUGUUAAGAGAAUUCUGUUGGAAAAAUCCUCUUGAACUGGAUGCAUCUGGACCUUAAGUUAUAUUGUGGAAUUUGUACUAGAGACGAUCUACUUUUCUCCUUAACCCUCCCAGUUGGUUUCAAACUCUUGUUUCCUGCUACAACCUCAAUCCUCUGAGAGCCUCUCAAGCAAAAUGAGUGAAACACAGGCCUGAGUCUAGACCUUCAUGAAAACAUCAAGGAGAUUCCCUUUCAUGCCAUCAAAUCCGAUUCUGCCAACCAAAAUACUGGGUCCUCCUUUCUUCUGCUCUCACUGUCAGAUCUCAGACCCCGGAGGCUUCAAACCUGGAUCCUAAGGAAAUUAAUACCAAUAGGGACUAGGACCAUGAAGACUACUAAAAGGAAAGCUUCAUAAGGAAGGGAUGGGGAAAAAUCACGCCUGGACAAGGCUUCACCCACAGCAUUGAGCAAGUCAGAGGUCCAAGCCAUCAGAAAAUGGAAUUCUCUGCAUGAGAAGAAAGUCCCGUCAGAACCACAUGACGAAGCUAUUGGAGAGCAAGUAGGGGUCUAGAUUUUAGCCAGACCAGCUUGAGGGUUGGUGUUUGAGAAUACACAGAGGUGGGACGUGAGCACAGUAAGAACUGGUAAACAGCGGUCCCUGUAUUGCAGAGACUACUCAUCUUUUGCCAGAAUUCGUUUUUAAGUCACUGAAAACUAAGCGAGUUUCUCCCCGAAUACAUUUUGCUAGGUGGUUGAAAUUGGACAUUUUGUUAGCUGCCCCUUUAAGUAAGUGGGAUUUCCUGACACUAGGCUUCCUUAGCUGUGACAAAGCCACUCUGUGUAGCAUGUACCUAAGCCUGUUCCACAUUGCUCCUAUGGGACUUGGGGGGCAAAGGGAACCCAUGUAAACAUGGGGCUCAUGCUGCCUGCUGUGUAAUGUCUUUUGUCUUUGAC